UAAUUUAUUUGAAUUUGGCACUCUGCAUGUUCCCUGGCAUUUGGCCAGGUGGGACGCUAGUGUCCCAGAUAUCCCAGAGAGGUUAACUAACAGAGACAAAGAACACCUAUCUGUCACAAUAACAUUCUGAUAGAGAGGGUGGGGGGUUAAGGGGUUGGAGGCAGACUGACAGCGUGGAAAAAGAAAAAAGAGGGAAGGAGAGAUAGAUGGGGAGCCAGAAAGAAGAUAAAACAACAGGGAAGGAGAGAUGGAUGGGGAGCCAGAAAGAAAAUAAAACACCACAGCGGAAGGAGAGAGAUGGGAGCCAGAGAAAGAAAUAAAACAACAGGGAAGGAGAGAUGGAUGGGGAGCCAGAAAGAAGAUAAAACAACGGGGAAGGCGAGAGAUGGAUGGGGAGCCAGAAAGAAGAUAAAACAACAGGGAAGGAGAGAUGGAUGGGGAGCCAGAAAGAAGAUAAAACAACAGGGAAGGUGAGAUGGAUGGGGAGCCAGAAAGAAGAUAAAACAACAGGGAAGGAGAGAUGGAUGGGGAGCCAGAAAGAAGAACAAUAAAACAACAGGGAAAAAACAACUUCUUCUUUCUCUCUUUCUUGCGUUCCUUCUUGUCUUUCCGUCACUCCCUUCCUCCUUCCCACCCUCCUUGAUCAGGCAGAUGUCGUUGUGAUGGUGAUGAGUAUGGGCUUUACUGAGACAGUGACUAAGCACAGUGGGGCGGUGGCCCAUGCUAGAACCAUGGGUGUGUUCGUAUUUUCAAUCUGUUGUGCCAGAGUGUGCUCUGGGCAUUGGUAAAUUCAGAGCGUUUCGCUCUGGGAGCGUUUCGCUCUGGGAGCGUUCAGAGGGCACACUGUACACUCUGGCCGAGGAGUAGGGUUGAUCCCAGAUGUCUGACCUCACAAGGGCAGUCAAGCACCCAAGCCAACUGGCUAAUGUUGGCUAGCUUGCUAGCUACUUCCAGACACAAUGAGAGAACACCUCAUACUGAUCAUUUUAACCCCGCUAGUAGAGCGUGUUAGGCUGUUUUUAUGUUAUCUAGAGCGUUGGUGACAAACUGUGCUGCUGGCAACAACAGUCAUAUUCAGCAGGUGGGGCGUGUUCCUAAAUUCAUCAGUUGUUCUGUGCUCUGGCACACUCAGAUGAGAGUGCUCUGAAAUCAGAGUAGAUAGCCAGAGAGAACUUACGAACACACCCUACGUCUCUACCGAUCAGAGUUACACAUACCCAUUCAUUCACCUCUCCUUCCUUCCUUUCUCUCUUUCCCUCGGAUGCCCAUCGGCUCCUACUCUACCACCCCAGGCCCAUCCUUCUUCUCUCCUCCCUCUGUUGCCCUCCAUGGGAUUUACUGAAACAGUGAGUCAGUACUCUACAGUUAGCUGUCACGCUAACACUAGGAUAACUCUCUGACCUACUUUCCAAAGAGGCUUUUCCCCUCCACUCGCACUGCCUGGAUGUCUGCUUUAUACUGAUAACUGGACGCGCACACAUGUAUGUGUGCAGUUACACGCGCUCGCCCACACAUACACACUCCAGCUUAUGUUAAUAGGAACAUAAAGCCUGAGAGACAUGAAGCUGAUCCUUGAGAGGACGGUGAUGCUCACUGUCCUGUUAUUCCUGGUUUUCCUUAGCCGGAGUGAGAGUGAGAGUGAGAGAGAGAGAGAGAGAGAGAGAGAGAGUGUGUGUGUGUUUUAUCCCAAUCGUCUUAAAGCAAGCAUGAGUAUUCUACUCUAAAUCGCUCCGCUGAGACUUUGUUUGUUGUGAGGC
ensembl:lncRNA